AACGAUCAGAUACAAAUAUAGCAGCCAGUUGAAUUUUCAUCAUAAAUGAAAAAUUUCAAACGGUAAUUCCAACAGUAUCAUCAUUUAUUUAAUUAAAUAUUAGAAGUAUAAAACAAUAAUAUAUAGGUAUUCUUAAGUGAACGAUCAGAUAAAAAUAUAGCAGCCAGUUGAAUUUUCAUCAUAAAUGAAAAAUUUCAAACGGUAAUUCCAACAGUAUCAUCAUUUAUUUAAUUAAAUAUUAG